AUGAGGCAGCUCACCGUGCAAUACUGGAAGCAGAUGCUUCGGCGUGCUCCUAACGUUCAUAUGGAGAAGGCAAAGCACCUCUGGAAUAUACAGAAUUUUGUUUCACAUGUAUUUUCUUCCCAUUAUUUCGACCCAUGUAGAGAUCUGAAUCAUCUGAUCAUCCCAUCUCAUUUGCAGAUGUUGAGCAUCAUUCACGGGUCCACGAGGGAUCUACCAACUUAUCAGUGGCUGACUGUGCUGUCUCAGUUGAUAUCCCGCAUUUGUCAUCAGAAUGGUGAGGUUGUCAAAACUGCCAGACAAAUUAUCACGUCUGUGUUACAGGCCGGCGUGCCCUCAGCAAGCACUUUGGAUGAUGGCUGCAGUGUCAAAGUCAACAGUUUCUGCAAGAACAGAUGCCGCAACACAGAUAUUAAACUCAGCAAAGAAGGGCUGUCGGAAGGGGGCCCAAGGCAAAGGCAAUAA
rnacentral:rRNA from 1 species